UAUCUUUUAAAAGCGCCAGCACUGUGGCUGCCCGACAUGGAGCACAGUGGACGAGGUGGAGGUUUAUCGAAAUGUUCGGCGGAUGCCUCCCGGUCAUGUAUCAGGACCGUAAGCUCAGUUACAAAACAUAGGGGCAACUUUAUGGACAAAAUCUGAGUAUGAUAUGUU
rnacentral:ncRNA from 2 species